UACGGAGGGUGCAAGCAUUAAUCGGAAUUAUUGGGCGUAAAGGGCGCGUAGGCGGAAAUGUAAGUCAGAUGUGAAAUUCCGAAGCUCAACUUCGGAGCUGCAUUUGAAACUACAAUUCUAGAGGGUUGACGGAGAAAACGGAAUUCCACGUGUAGCGGUGAAAUGCGUAGAUAUGUGGAAGAACACCGGUGGCGAAAGCGGUUUUCUAGUUAAUACCUGACGCUGAGGCGCGAGAGCAAGGGGAGCAAACAGG
rnacentral:rRNA from 2 species